UAGGUAAAGAAUUAUAUCCAUAUUAAUAAACACUGCCAAAAUAUCCUAAAGUCUAUAUAAAAAGUAUGCAUUACAAAUUAAUGAGUGUAAAUUGUGAGACUACUCUCACACAAUCCCUGAAAUGAUUAAAGACUACUCUUAACUAUUACUGAAAUAGUGCUUGGUCCCUGAAUGAUGUAAUCCUUGUGCAAAGACCCCUCAAGAUACGUCAAAGCACAAAAGAUAACAGAGGAAAGGAAACAAACGUAUUACAACUUCUGAUAUAAACAUUCCUCAUAAGUUUGGAAUUUUUCAUAAUUCCUGGGGUAAAAGUUCUUAGAAUAUGUCACUUUCUGGGAAAUUUAACAGCAAAAGUUUUAGCUACUUUUUUUUUUUUUAUAAUGCAUAAGUGUACAAAGUUCAACAUGUAACAGAUAUAAAGAUGCCAAAGGGUAAAUAAAGCAAUGCAAAUUUACAUAACAAAGCCAUUUGAUAAAUGCCACUAUCAGCUAUUACUAUAUAUUCCAUCCUAUAAUCUCAUAAAUCAAAGCUUUUAACUGCCUAGACUCAUAUGUGACUGUAUUCUUUCCAACAUGCAUUCUUUCUUCUUCCAGGGGUUGUUCAAUAACAGCAGGUAUGUUUCUGCCAUGAAGUUCACAGUGUUCUAGAAACUGGACACAUUCUUGAAUAACACUAUCACGAAGCAUGAUUGUGUGUUUUGACAUGUUUUCUAACAAGGACAGGAAGCAUCUUUUGGCAUAAUACCAGGUGUCUGUUCCCAGCUUUUUGUUGUAAGGUUCCAAGCUUUUGAUAACUCGAGAAAUACCAAAGUCAUAAUUUCCUUUGGCACAAUAAAGAGUUCCUAUCACCAAAUUCACAAUGCAGAGAUGGUACAUUUUCUUAUCUGGGUCAUCAUAAGAGAGCUGCUCUUCCUCCUUUUCAAUCUUCCUCAUCAACUCCUCUGCUUCUUCAUUUUGACUUGUCAUAAUAUAGGAAACACAGAGAUUAGCCAGUACAAUAGCACUGACAUUCAGGAUGUUAUCAUAAUGCUUCUUGACUACGGGUUCAUAGAAACCAAUGGCUUCUUUGUAUUUGUUUUCCUGCAUGAACAGAACAUGAGCCACAUUCAACUUCCACACAUCAUGGUCGUUACAGAAUUCCACAGAUUUGCGGAAGAUCUUUUCCACCAUUGGAUAAUUUUCAAGAUUCCAGUAGAUUUUUGCCUGAGCCAUCAACACAGGAAUAUAUUUCUCCAUGGUUUCAUCAUAUUCAUUCACUGCCUUUUUGAUAGCUUCAUCAUCUCUAUUGUGUCUUGCUUCCUGUACUUGUAUGGCAAGCUUCCGGAGGACCUCAGUCAGCAUCCCUGCUAGCCCAUCAAGCUUAAUGAAAGCCUCUUCAGGAGCUGUCUGGCAAGUGAUCACAGCGUCCAAGAAGUCAUAGAGAUAGGGUGUGAGGAACUUAUAAGUCAAAUGGGCAUUUUCUGCCAGGACAUCUGCUGCCAGGUCAAAAUACUCAUAUUUACAGUAGAGCAGCAACAGGUUGCCAAAAGUCUCUGGAGGAAAGGGAUUCUGUUGGAGCAAAAACUGUAGCUUUUCAAACCCUUCCGUAGGCCUGGCAUCCAUGUUCAUUAGUGCCUGGUUGUGUAGGGUCACAGGGUCCAAUUCUUCCUCUGCCCUGGGUGGCAUGUCGGUGAGGGUUUCUUGAGCUACCUCAUAGUUUCUCAGUUGGUAUUCUAUGGCUGCCUUAAGGUUGAAGGCUUCCACCAGAGCAGUCUGAUGGAGAACUAAGGUGUUGCCAACACUGCGAACAUCAAAGCCCUCGGUGGUCAUGCCCACACCUAGCUCAGGAUGCUGGCGGAUGCCACGCUCAAUAAUCUCAGCGAUAUGCUUCAGUGCUGAAGCAUACUGUCGGCUGCUGUAAUAGGCCAAAGCCAGGUUGUAGGAAAGGUCAGGCUGGUAGCCCGAGGCCUGCAGUGCGGCAGAAAACUUGGAGCAUGCAGCUUCAUACUGUCCCUCCUUGUAGAGCAAACAACCCAGGUUGACCUGGCCAUCGGUCUCAUUGUCGCCUCCACUUUCUUCUCCCCCUUCCCCACUCAGCAGCUGCUCCACCAGGCUCCUGGACCCUGGCAGAUCGCCCUCGCUAUACUUGAUGGCAGCUUGCAGGCGGAGGACCCGGCUGUGGUAGGCGGGGUUAUCCAGGAGAAGGAAGGCGACCCGAGUGGCCUCCGGAUAAAGGCAGGCCUUGUACAGGGCCUGGGCCUGGUACAGGCGGUACUGCUCCAGUUCCGGGUGCAGCUGGCCCAGCUGCUCAUAGCACUCGGCCGCCAGCGCGAACUCCUGCAGGC
rnacentral:lncRNA from 1 species